rnacentral:tRNA from 2 species
CGAGCUAAUAGUUUAAUUAAAAUUUUGGCAUUGGAAGCUAAGGAUUGGAGCUUAUCUUCAUUGCUCGA